AGUUUGAUCCUGGCUCAGGAUGAACGCUAGCUACAGGCUUAACACAUGCAAGUCGAGGGGCAGCAUUGGAGUAGCAAUACUUCAGAUGGCGACCGGCGCACGGGUGAGUAACACGUAUCCAACCUGCCGCUUACUCGGGGAUAGCCUUUCGAAAGAAAGAUUAAUACCCGAUGGUAUAAAGAGUUCGCAUGUUCUCUUUAUUAAAGAAUUUCGGUAAGCGAUGGGGAUGCGUUCCAUUAGAUUGUUGGCGGGGUAACGGCCCACCAAGUCUACGAUGGAUAGGGGUUCUGAGAGGAAGGUCUCCCACAUUGGAACUGAGACACGGUCCAAACUCCUACGGGAGGCAGCAGUGAGGAAUAUUGGUCAAUGGACGCGAGUCUGAACCAGCCAAGUAGCGUGAAGGAUGACUGCCCUAUGGGUUGUAAACUUCUUUUAUAAGGGAAUAAAGUGAGGGACGUGUCCCUUUUUGUAUGUACCUUAUGAAUAAGGAUCGGCUAACUCCGUGCCAGCAGCCGCGGUAAUACGGAGGAUCCAAGCGUUAUCCGGAUUUAUUGGGUUUAAAGGGAGCGUAGGUUGACAUAUAAGUCAGCUGUGAAAGUUUACGGCUCAACCGUGAAAUUGCAGUUGAUACUGUAUGUCUUGAGUGUACAAGAGGUGGGCGGAAUUCGUGGUGUAGCGGUGAAAUGCUUAGAUAUCACGAAGAACUCCAAUUGCGAAGGCAGCUCACUGGGGUACAACUGACACUGAGGCUCGAAAGUGUGGGUAUCAAACAGGAUUAGAUACCCUGGUAGUCCACACAGUAAACGAUGAAUACUCGCUGUUUGCGAUAUACAGUAAGCGGCCAAGCGAAAGCAUUAAGUAUUCCACCUGGGGAGUACGCCGGCAACGGUGAAACUCAAAGGAAUUGACGGGGGCCCGCACAAGCGGAGGAACAUGUGGUUUAAUUCGAUGAUACGCGAGGAACCUUACCCGGGCUUGAAUUGCAGAGGAACAUAGUUGAAAGAUUAUGGCCGCAAGGUCUCUGUGAAGGUGCUGCAUGGUUGUCGUCAGCUCGUGCCGUGAGGUGUCGGCUUAAGUGCCAUAACGAGCGCAACCCUUAUCUUCAGUUACUAACAGGUUAUGCUGAGGACUCUGGAGAGACUGCCGUCGUAAGAUGUGAGGAAGGUGG
rnacentral:rRNA from 1 species